rnacentral:rRNA from 1 species
AUUGAACGCUGGCGGAAUGCUUUACACAUGCAAGUCGAACGGUAGAGGGGGCAACCCUCGAGAGUGGCGAACGGGUGAGUAAUAUAUCGGAACGUGCCCAGUCGUGGGGGAUAACGUAGCGAAAGUUACGCUAAUACCGCAUACGAUCUAAGGAUGAAAGCGGGGGACCGUAAGGCCUCGCGCGAUUGGAGCGGCCGAUGUCAGAUUAGGUAGUUGGUGGGGUAAAGGCUCACCAAGCCGACGAUCUGUAGCUGGUCUGAGAGGACGACCAGCCACACUGGGACUGAGACACGGCCCAGACUCCUACGGGAGGCAGCAGUGGGGAAUUUUGGACAAUGGGCGCAAGCCUGAUCCAGCAAUGCCGCGUGCAGGAAGAAGGCCUUCGGGUUGUAAACUGCUUUUGUACGGAACGAAACGGCUCUGGUUAAUACCUGGGGCUAAUGACGGUACCGUAAGAAUAAGCACCGGCUAACUACGUG